rnacentral:lncRNA from 1 species
AUUAUUCUAAGAGGAACUUGAACGGUGGAUUUGUGAUCGUGCUCGUUUGUAGUUCGAUCCAUCGCGAGUUCGGAACGUGAGAAGAUCUAGACAAGGACGAUCAAAGGACACGUGAAUCAACCUCGACGAUCCGGGCGUUAUAACGUGAAUCGCUUCCGCAAAAGGUACGAACGAAUACUUCCGCUGCGUUCUACAUUGGUAUCAGAGCCAUUUUUGGUUGAUUUCGUGCCCUAAAUCAUGUUCUAACGAGAUUACAAGCGUUAAAAACUAAAUCUAUCAAAGUUUGGAUUUUAUCUUGCAUGUAUAUCAGCGUUAAUGGCGGUUUUUUCAGAAGUGGAUAUUUUUGCUUGAUUUCUGCACAUCUUAAAGCACCUAUCUUAUAGAUUAGAUCUACAAAGUUUGAUUUGUUUUGGUUUUGUAUUUUAUGAAAAAACGAAACCCUAAAUAGAAACUUUGGGGGUGGCUUGUUUGAUGUGUGAUGCGUAUCCCAUUGUGAAAAUUGCAUGAUUUGGAAGAGCUUUUCAAAAGCUUUCUAUUGAUAUACUUCUUGCAUGAUUUGGAUUUCUAUAUCAUAAAGUUAUAGAAUUUUUUUAAGAUUAUACUAUCUUAAAAAAAAAUUAUUUACUGUACGGGCCUCCAGCCACGCGUUAGCCGUCGGCACGCAUCGCCACGCGGCCGCCACGCAGGCGCCAGCACGCGGUCCGCGCAUGUCCGAGGAGGCCGACGCGGGCCACGAGGCCACCAGGUCCGCGCAUGCAAAGCAGGCCACGGGGCCGCGCGUACGCGUGGGCCGGCACGGUGGCCGCGCAAGCCACGGGCUGCGCAGCCUCGCCAGCCACUCUGACGGUGGCGGGCCUGCGAGCAGAGCGCUCGGUGCAACGGCCGCGCGCGAUUCAGGCCGCGAGUGCGGGUCCGCGCCCGCGGGCCGCGCGCUCAAGUCUGCUGGUGGGCGCAGUAGUCGGCCAGCGGCCCGCCAAGCCUAGCGCGAGCGGGCACUAGCGGCGGCCACGCGAGCCGAGCCGGCGCCACGCAGGUGGGAGACAACCACCCCGCGCGGGCAGCGCGCGACCGACACGCGUGGGCCUGCUGGCUGCCAGGGCACGCGCCGCGACCAGUGCGCGAGUGCGGGCUGACAGGCGCCGCACUGGCCGGUGCCCGCAAAGCCACGGCGCCGGCGCGUCGCGGUCGGCGCCCUACUGGCUGUCGAUGUGCGCAUGCGGGCGCUGCUAGCCGCACGGGAGGCGCGGGCCAACUCGGGCACGCAAGGCCGCGCUCGCUAACAGCCGGCCAGCGCGGGCCAACAGGCCAGCGGCAUAGACCGGGCCGCGAGCGCCUGCACCCCGCGAGCAGGCUGCAGCCCUCGGGGCCUACAGUUUUUUUUUUGGUUUUUUUAUUUUUUAUUAUAAAAAAAGGGUGUUUGUUGAUGAUAAUAUGUUUUUAUGAUAUAGAAUAAUUAGCAUGACAUUUAAAAAUGUGAUAAUCCUUUUAUGAUGUAUAUAUAGAUGAAUACUUUAGGCAUAUGUAUUUUAUGCAUGCGUUUAUCCUAGUGGGAGCUUUGAUCUUUGGUAGAGUAAAUUAUAUGCUUUUUACUCCUAAUUUUUUGUGCAUCUUAAUUAAAUAAAUUAAAAAUUAUGACAUAUGGUGUGUGAUGUGAUUACGAGCAUAGCAAAAUUUUUCUUUACGCAUGUAUGAUCUUUUUUUUAAUUUAUUUAAUUAGAAAUGCGGCAAAAUUAAAUAUAUGUAUCGUGUACUGAUUUUAAAAUAUCCUUUUCUGCGCAUUGCAUGAACAAAGUGAGAUUUAAUGGCCUCCAAGCAAAUUGUUGCUGAUUUAAACCAGGGCGAGAAAUUGGAUGGUGACAAUUAUGAUAUUUGGCACCAUAAAAUUCAAUAUGUUCUCGCUGAGCAAGAGGUUCUGGAAAACCUGAGUAAUAAAAUAGACCAACCCACGGAGGGCACCAGUGCCCAUGCUUGCCGAGAUAUGGAAGCCUAUAAUAAUUGGCUUAAAAAGGAUCUCAUUGCUCGCAUCACGUUGCUGAGCAGUAUGCAGAAUGAUCUCUUGUGCGAGUGUGAGCAGUAUCCGACUGCGUAUGACAUGUGGGAGGCUCUCAAAGCAAAAUUUGGUGCAACUUCGGCUACAAGGUUGCGCAGUCUGACUAUGCGGGUUGACAGUUAUAAGAAGCGUGCCGAUCAGACUAUGAAGCAGCACAUUAGAAUAAUGUCAAACAUGAUUCACGAGUUAAAGUCGGCUGGCGGCACCUUGACUGAUGAGCAACAGAUCCAAGCUACGAUUCGACCUCUUCCCAAUUCGUGGGAACAUAUGCGAGUAAAUUUGACCUAUAACGAUAAUAUCAAAACUUUUGAGGAUGUUGCGCGGCAUUUGGAGUUUGAGGAAGAGCGCCUUGAGGCUGUUAAAACUCCAACUGCCAAUGCUACUGAGUCAAACUUUCGCAGGACAUCUGGGUUCAAACGAAAGAGGACUACUGGGGCUCAAAAUCGUAGCGGAUCCGUGCCUAAGAACGCGAAGAGCACUAAAAGAAAGAGAAGCAAACGAGGUGGCAAAAAAGACAAGUCAAAGAUGACUUGUUUCAAUUGUAAUCAGCUGGGACACUUCGCUCGUGAUUGCACUGAGCCGAAGAAGGUACAACUCUAUCCCGAUUCUCGCUCUUUUGUUUCUUCUAAUACGUUUGUUGCUGAAUCUCUCCCUGUGUGGAUUGUAGACUCAGGAGCAACAGACCACGUAGCGAGGGAUCCGAUGGGAUUCGUCGAGUACCGUCGCGUGCCUGCUGGGAACAAAAGAGUAUACAUGGGGAAUGAUUCAAGUGUCGAUGUGUUAAGCGUUGGCAUAUACAAGUUGAUCAUGCAAGGUGGUCGAACUUUGUACCUACAUGGUAUACUUUAUGCUCCAGGAAUUCAACGGAACUUGUUUUCUAUUCUUGCUAUGCUACAGUUAGGCUUUUCUUUUUGUUUUGAGAGUGAUGUAGUUAAGAUUCAUCUUGGAACUAUUUAUUAUGGUAGAGGUUUUAUGUCAAAUGGUUUUAUGGUUUUGGACAUUGAUUAUAAUAUUAAUAAUAGUGAUAUUUUUUUCCUGCUAUCUUCUGUUGAGAAUGAUCACAAUGUUUCAAUUAAAUAGCAUGCACGUCUUGGUCAUAUUGGGCAGGAUAGAAUGACAAGAUUGGUUAGAGACGGGUUAUUGAGCUCGCUCACUAAAGUCGACCUACCCACUUGUGAACAUUGUUUAGCGGGAAAAGCAACCCGAAAAUCAUUUAAUAAAGCUUCUAGGGCAGAAUUUCCUUUACAAUUGAUCCAUUCUGACAUUUGUGGCCCAAUGAGUGUGAGGGCAAGACAUAGUGCUUUUUACUUCAUCACAUUUAUAGAUGACCAUACGCGCUUCGGUCAUGUUUAUCUGAUCUCCCAUAAGUCUGAAGCAUUGGAUUGUUUUAGACGUUAUAUUAGUGAGGUUGAGAAUCAGUUAGAUAUGAAAAUUAAAUGCUUAAGAACUGAUCGAGGCCGCGAGUAUCUAUCUGAACAAUUCAAGAAAUUAUGUGAUGAAAAGGGAAUAAUCAGACAGCUGACAAUUCCUGGCACUUAGAUAUCAAGAUACACCACACCCGCGCAAGAUGGUUUAGCGUAGAAGAAAAUCAGCACCUUUGCUUGACAUGUUAGGCUCAAUGACUGCGCAAGCAAAUUGCCUUCUCCUUUUGGGGAACUCAUGUUAAACUUGCUACCUACAUUCUUAAUCUGUACCCUCAUAAACAGUACCUCCAUCCCUUAGAAUUAUGGACAGCAGGAAACCAAAUCUUGGAGCUAUUCUUUGCGUGCCUUGGGUUCGGCAAGCUUAUGUACACAAACUUAUCACACAGAUGGAAAAGUUGGGUUCUAGAGAAGGAAGUUAUCUUUAAUAAGAUCACCUGAACACUCUAAGGCGUACUGAUUCAUCGGAAAUUUAGCAAAAAUCCUGAUGGAAGUUUGACUGAGAAUUGAAGUCACAAUGUUGAAAUCCUCGAGAGGAUUUUCGCGUAUAGAAUCAGGUCGAAAUUAAAUUGCAAUUUCAUGAGAAAUGGAUUGACUCUGACAUUAAGUCUUCUAUUCGUUCAAUCGAGGCAGAUUGAGCAACCGUCCGAUACCUCCUUCGGGAAAGUGGGACGCGACUGCCUUAGAUAAGGAGCUCAACUUCGUAGGAGCGCCACACCGUUUGCGAUUCCCUCGUCAGUCGUUUUCUGAAUUGAGGAAAGCAUUCAUGGUUCCUGCACAUGAUAUGAUCGAGCCCUAGAUCCUCAGCUUCCAAAGGCUCUCUCUAUUAACCUACUCAUAAGAAAUUUGGAUGCAGAUGAUGAGGAAAUAGAAUGAUAAAGUCAAAUCAUGUCUUGACUUGGUUGACUUGCACCAGGCGCAAAAACAGGAAUAAAUGGUUUCUCAAGAUAAGCACAAGGCAGACCGUUAAUAUCGAAGGUAACAAGCUCGCUCGGUAGCCAAAGGGUUUUACUCAAACUGAGAAGGCGUUGAUACGAAGAAACCUUUUUCGCCCUGUCGUGAGUUUGCUUCGAUCCGUUCUUAAUCGUGGGCCAUUUGUCACCGUUUUUUUAUUUUGUUUUUAUUAUUCUAUCUCUAUAUUAUUUUAUUUUAUAUAUUUUUAUUUUUUUUUUAUCUCAUAUAAUUUAUUAUUUUAUAUUUCUUAUAUUUUAAUUUUUGUCAUCCUUACUUUGUUCUCUUUCUUAUAAGUUUGAGGUAUUCCUAUAUUUUUAUUAAUUUAUUUUCUCCGAUACGAUUUCUCUAUUUUUAUUAUGAAUUCAGUUCUCCAGAUCAUGGUAUAAUUCGAUUUUUCAUCGAUGCCGUAUGUCAUCUUUUUGAAAUAUGGGUGUUAUUCGACUGAUUAUUUUUUGAUGAAUUUUUGUGUGUUUUAAGACGAUUCUCUAUAUAUUAGAUUUUUUUUUUCCUAAUUUUCUCUUUUCUUAUAUUGGAUUGACAUCCUUAAUUGCCCGGAAUAAUAAGGAAUGAUUGUCGCCACCCAGACAUGGGUGUCCUCUAAUUUUGAAAUGAAGGACAUGGGUGAAGCGAAUUAUGUGCUCGGAGUUAAGAUCCUACGAGAUCGUUCAAAAAAACUUUUAGGUCUGUCUCAAGAGACUUACCUAAGAAAAGUUUUAGAACGAUUUCAGAUGCAAAAUUGCAAACCCAUUGACACUCCUAUUGCUAAAGGUGAGAGUUUGAACCUUAAACAGUGCCCUAAAACUUCUGAAGAGAAGGACAAGAUGAAUCGGAUUCCAUAUGCUAAUGCGGUCGGGAGCCUGAUGUAUGCUAUGAUGUGUACUCGGCCGAUAUAUGCUAUGCCGUGGGCCUGGUUAGCCAUUUUCCGUCCAAUCUGGGAUUGGACCACUCGAAGGUAGUGGCGCAGAAGAAAAUAAUCCUGGAACACAUAUCUACAAGUCGCGUGGUUGCAGAUUCUCUAACUAAGCCUGUUGUUAGAGAUUUUUUUUUGGCUUAUGUUAAAGCUCUUGGACUCCGUAGGAUUUGAUUGUAGAGAGCGAGUGAAAAUUGAGGCAUUAAUGAAGGCCGCCUUGGUUGGCACCAAGAUGAGGUCAUUAAUGGGACCGCAUACGAAUAGUCCCACGAUUCUUAUGGCCUGCAUAUUGAGAGCCGGAUGUGAGCUCACCGUUUGACGCUUGAGAUAGCGAGCAAAUAGAGAAAUCAGGCUAGACACUCCGGGAGUGACUGAGCUAAGAUCCGUAUGACAUUGAGAAAGACAUACGCUUAUUGGAUUCUCUGUCAUAGCAUGUAUUUCAUACUACAUGUGCUGGGCGACUAAAUAAAGAAGAUGAGUGAAUGGAUCCCUGCUUCCUCAUCGUGUGAGUUCUUACGGGCAUUUUUUGGGGACGAUGUCCUAUAUAUGAUAGAUGCCCUUAGUAACUUUUGACUAUGUCAUUAAGUGAAAGAAUUGAUGUUGCUACUUUGGCAUGUUACCUACGGCUAUGAGUGAUGCGGCUUUACGGGGCAUUGCUGGGAAAGCAAUCAGUUCUCAACUCGGUGGCAUGAGGGCUCAAGGAAGACUAGUUGAAUUACAUUAAAACACUUUGACUCAUUGUCGAAAGGUUGUAUCGCUUCAGUAUAGCGAAACAAUCAUGAGUAUAGUGUCAUAAUGUGCGCAAUUGCGGUUAGCAUGGCUCUUUGAGGGAUUAGAGAUGCUGAACCUGAUGUAAUUCAAUGGUCUAGGACAUCACGAGUCUAAUAUUUUUUCUUUUUUGAGGGUUGAUGUCUCUAUGCUAGCCGGAUGCGGUUUCUAGUAUAGAGCUCCCAAAAUGCAGGUUGACUCGGCGGUCGCACUGUUCAUUUUUCUGUAUGAAUAGAAUUAAUAGUGGUGUGAUGUUGAGGAAGUAGUUACGAUGGCAUCGAUCCCGUCAUGUGCGAGUGGGAGAUGUUGGCAUUCGGUUAAAUCGAAUCGGGUACGCCCAUAAGCGGGUUCGAUCCGACGGAUGUUAUGUUAUCUAAUUGGAUUAGAAUUAAUCUCGCUUUCAAAUUGGAAAGUUAGUUAGAGAUAAAUCCUAGUCAUAUUAGGAUUACAAUUAAUAUAACCAAUUUGGCAUUAUCUCUAACGCUAUUAGGAUUUUGAAAUCCCUUAUAAAUAGACGGGCGAUCCCACAUAAAACGAACGAACGAAAAAAGAGAGAGAAUAAGAAAAUAAUAGAGAGAAACUACAUCCUCCAUUGACCUAGUAUUCUAAGAGGAACUUGAACGGUGGAUUUGUGAUCAUGCUCCUUUAUAGUUCAAUCCAUCGCGAGUUCGGAACGUGAAAAGAUCUAAACAAGGACGAUCAAAGGACACGUGAAUCAACCUCGACGAUCCGGGCGUUAUAACGUGAAUCGCUUCCGCAAAAGGUACGAACGAAUACUUCCGCUGCGUUCUACACUAUAUAUCAUAAUAAGUAUAUAGAACGUAUUUAUUGGAGGCCCACCGCCAUAACAAACUAAAUGCCUCGCCAACUAGCUAGGCUGACAAAGCUAUUCAAAUUUUUAUCUUAGAAAUAAUUAAAACAUUCCAACUCAAGAUUACACAUAAAACAACUAUGCUAAUAGCACUAUAUAUCCAAAUUGGCUUUUAGCUACACUGCACCGAACAAUGAACAACAAUUAAAAUUCUUUAAAAAAGAAAUUCUGCGCACACUCGAGCCCAUCUGGGAUCUCCUUCUUUCACCAUGAACUAGCAAACUCAGCCAAGAGACAAGAACAACUACAAAAUAUCUUGGAAGUCCUCCAAGUAUAUUUCAAGUUCUAAACACACUUGAACCCAUCCGGGAUCUCCUUCUUGCAAGUGCUGGCCAACAAGCUGAGAGCGACAGACCACUCGGUGGUGAUCCCCAGCACGCUCUCGCUGACGGUGGUGCAGAGGCAGGCAGCCGCCUCGGCAUCCGCGAGGCCCUCAAGAAGCGUGCAGCACCUGCUGCCGAACGGCGCUCCGACAGCCAGGUCGCUGACUCCUCCAAGCAAGCUCGCGCACGCCGCAAGCUUGACAGUGUCCCACGGGCAGAAGGGGUUCACGGGAGGGCCCUUCGGAGGCACCUGCGGUACCGUCGGGGUGGGGAUCUUGGGCGUGCAUGGGACUUUGUUUGCGGUGCACAGAGAGGAGAGGAGGAAGAGGGUGAGUGAGAGCGUGGCGAGGGUCUUGCUAGCCAUGGCUCUUUCACUUGAUUUAUUUUCUCUAUUUGCUGUCAUGAUAAGGGUGCUCUACCGGUUGGUUCUUCUUAUAGAGGAGCUUACGUAGGCGCACGCACA